UCUAGAUCUGCUACAGCUAAUAACCCAGCCCAAUUUUGUGGACCUGACCCAGGAGGACUGUGAACACAAUGUCCAAGCUGGUCCAAGCAACUCUAUCAAUACCAGAAAUCCAACACACAGCCCCAUGAGAAAGAAAAGAGUGAUCGCUACAGUCAGUCCGGCACCGCGAGAGGAAUUACACAAUAAUAGAACGUCAGAGGUUGACAGAUCCAACGCUGAUACCGGACCUGAGAUAUUUCAAGACGGCGAACCCAUUGUUGCGGACAACGCUGCUGACUAGACCGAUACGCAAAUAAAUGCCUGGCAAAGGGCUAGUUGGUCGAGUGGCCGCAGCGAAGUUUCGUCACAGCCGGAUAGAGACACACCACCCGCUUUUGACGAUGUGUCCGAGGAGGAGGAGGCUGAAUUGCGUCCAGAGCUCCGUCGUAAUGAUCCUCAGAAUGAUGUUGUAAAUGAAAGAAUUGUAUCUUUGUUCGAAGAGCUGAUUGAAAGACAGGAGUCUUUAUACAACAAACUCUUUAUUAGGCAGGAUAAUUUCUUCACCGAAUUAAAUAA